CAGGGCCAUAACUGGUGUCCUGAGAGCCGCAGGAGGGCAAAUCCACUGGGGAUCUGACUCCCAAAGAAACGGGGGAGGGGGAACCCAGCUAACGUCAGUGUUUUCUGAGGGCUGGAACAAUGGGUUCCUACGCAGACUGUGAUGAGAAACUCCGGCCUCAAAGGGACCAGAAGGAUCCGGAGAAGCAGGACUUGGCCGAGCAGGAGGAGGGAGCCGUAUCCAUCCAGGACAUGGAGCUGAAGGAGGAGUGGCAAGACGAGGAGUUCCCGGGGCCUCUCCCGGAGGAGGUCUCUGAGGAGGACCUUGAAGACUCCGGCGGGGAGCCCGGCCCAGUCGCCCCCAACACCCUGGAGCUGUGCGGCAAACGGCACAUGAAGAAGCGGCUGCCAGCGCCAGAUCUCAGCCUGUCUUUAGACCGGGCCGAGGGCUCAGUGCAGUCGGGCGAUUACCCGGAGCACACGCCGGACGGCAGCCUGGACAUCAACGUGGACGAGCUGGAGACACCGUCCGAGAGUGAGCUGCUGGACGGGCCAGAGGGCGGCCAUGACUUCGAGUGGGAAGAUGAACUGCCCAGGGCCCGGUGCCUUGACAGCAGCCUGCUCGAGGAGAAACUCAGCGAGGGGCGCGUGGUGGACGUCGAGGACAAGGAUGGACGGAAGUGGAGGAUCUUCCUUUCAGACGAGCGGGAGCAGAAAGUGGAUCUGAGCGUCGUUGAGCCCUACAAGAGGGUCAUCUCCCAUGGGGGGUACUACGGGGAAGGCCUCAACGCCAUCAUCCUCUUUGCCUCCUGCUACCUGCCCGACGGCAGCAUCCCGGACUAUCAGUACGUGAUGGAGCACCUGUUCAGGUACAUCAUCGGGACCCUGGAGGUGAUGGUGGCAGAAAGCUACAUCCUGGUGUGUCUGAACGGCGCCACGCUCCGCAGCCAGAUCCCGUCCUUCGGCUGGAUAAAGCAAUGCUACCAGACCAUCGACCGGCGGCUCCGGAAGAACCUGAAGGCCAUGAUUAUUGUCCAUCCCACCUGGUACAUCAAGGCGCUGAUGGCCGUUUUCCGCCCCUUCCUCAGCUCCAAGUUUGGCAGGAAAGUGCAGUUCGUGGACAGCCUGUGGGAGCUGUCGCAACAGAUUCCUCUCGAGCAAGUGCACAUCCCUGACUGCAUCCGACAGUGAGUUGAGCAUCCUGUCCGUCUCGCGUCGAGGGCUGGCGCCCCUCGGGCUGGCUGUGAGGCUGGAUCACAGCUGGAAUGGCUCCAGGGACACAAAGCGGUGAUGCUGCACAGCAGCAGCCCCCAGCGCCAGUAGGGGGCAGUCGCGCUGCUUAGUUCUGUAACUUCGUUACUUCUGCCCACCAGUGUUCCUUUAAAGGAGAAACCGAAACGACCGGGUUUGGGAAAGGCGCUUGCUGCCGGGGCUUUGUAAAUAGGUCCAGCUUAAAUGGAUGCAUUGGUUUAAACACUGGGGGGCUUCUAAGGUUAGGCCGGCUUAAAUGGAGGACUUGGCUUACACAGGUUUUUAUGUGAGUGCCGUUACAGUUAGAAACGGGACCGUAGGAGCAUAUGCCUUAUUGGGCUCAGUACGGGGUCCUCUGGCCUGAGAGACAGGAGGUCAGACCAGAUGAUCUAACAGUCCCUUUUGGUCUUGCAAUCCCUCAGAGCCCAAACGUCUACACUACAAUUUUAUAGUUCCGCAGCCCGAGUCAGCUGACCCAGACCAGCCGCAGGGUUUUUAUUGCAGUGUAGACGUACCCCUGUGGAUCUAAAACCAGCGUAGCGGUUGGUCUCACUCAGACUGAUCCCGGUUGGCUUUAUGGAUGGAAACAAGGUGUUUUUUUUUUGCCUGCACAGCUGCUACAGCUUCGGGAGAGGGAGUAAUUUCGCCUUAGCGCAGCACUGGCCAAAGGAGCAGAAGUUCCUUUGAGCCCCAAAGAGCUGAUCCAGCUCUGGAAGAAGGCGCUGGAUUCUGUUCCGCCUCCUGCAUUCUUGUGGGAUCGGCACUUCGGCUCCAGCUGCAGAAUCCUGUUCCCAAGAGGCAGAUAACGCCCAGGUCCUGGCCGCUGGAAAAGUGAUGGUCCAGUUUGUACGCUGACCAGCUCCAGGUUAGCCUGGAAGGGAGAGGGGAGAACGGGGACCCGCUGGGGAAAGCAGCGUGGCAGCGUUAGCUUUGUUAAUUCCUGGCACCUUUCAAGGGAAGUGUCUCCAUUUGCAAAUGGCACCAGAGCAGCCAAGACCUAGGUGGCUGGAAAUACCGUGCCCAGGGUCAAAAGACUUCACCUUGCAUCCUGCCACAGCUCCCCCUAGGCAGUGACGGGAUGCUGCAAGCUGGGUAGCGGGACAAGGGCAAAUGUAUUUCACAGAGAGCGUUUUUCUCCCAAGUGUUUACUGUCAGGAGUCUGAGGCAGGAAACUAACCAGCUCUCCCAACACCCAGGCCCAUUAUAACCUUGCAGUUAGCUUUCGCAGGCUCCACUUCCUUGCUGUUUGUCUCUGUCCGCUGCCCAGGCAUGCAUCCUUCGUCCUCGAUUGGUGUAAGAUCCCUUGGGUGUGUGUCCUCAGCCCCCCACCCUGCACGCUAGGGUGACCAGAUGUCUCGAUUUUAUCGGGACUGUCCCGAUAUUUACUUGUUCGAUCAGGAUGCGGGACAAACAUCAGUCGGGACGCAAAUUGUCCCGAUAUUUUGCCCUCCAGAGCACACGCAGAGGGGGCUCACACACACCCCGCCCCAACUCCACCCCG